AUGGCUACCUCUCAAUAUGAGCCAGUGGCUGAAAUUGGUGUCGAUGCCUAUGGGACAGUGUAUGAGGCCCGUGAUCCCCACAGUGGCCACUUUGUGGCCCUCAAGAGUGUGAGAGUCCCCAAUGGAGGAAGAGCUGGAGGAGGCCUUCCCAUCAGCACAGUUCGGGAGGUGGCCUUACUGAGGCGACUGGAGGCUUUUGAACAACCCAAUGUUGUCCGGCUGAUGGACGUCUGUGCCACAUCCUGAACUGACCGGGAGAUCAAGGUAACCCUGGUGUUUGAGCAUGUAGACCAAGAUCUAAGGGUGUAUCUGGACAAGGCACCCCCACCAGGCUUGCCAGCCGAGACCAUCAAGGAUUUGAUGCGCCAGUUUCUAAGAGGCCUAGAUUUCCUUCAUGCAAAUUGCAUCGUUCACCGAGAUCUGAAGCCAGAGAACAUUCUGGUGACAAGUGGUGGAACAGUCAAGCUGGCUGACUUUGGCCUGGCCAGAAUCUACAGCUACCAGAUGGCACUUACACCCGUGGUUGUUACACUCUGGUACCGAGCUCCCAAAGUUCUUCUGCAGUCCACAUAUGCAACACCUGUGGACAUGUGGAGUGUUGGCUGUAUAUUUGCAGAGAUGUUUUGUCGAAAGCCUCUGUUCUAUGGAAACUCUGAAGCUGACCAGCUGGGCAAAAUCUUUGACCUGAUUGGGCUGCCUCCAGAGAAUGACUGGCCUUGAGAUGUAUCCCUGCCCCGUGGAGCCUUUCCCCCCAGAGGGGCCCACCCAGUGCAGUCAGUGGUACCUGAGAGGGAGGAGUUGAGAGCAUAGCUGCUGCUGGAAAUGCUGACUUUUAACCGACACAAGCGAAUUUCUGCCUUUCAAGCUCUGCAGCACUCUUAUCUGCAUAAGGAUGAAGGUAAUCCGGAGUGAGCAAUGGAGUGACUGCCAUGGAAGGAAGAAAAGCUGCCAUUUCCCUUCUGGACACUGAGAGGGCAAUCUUUGCCUUUAUCUCUGAGGCUGUAGAGGCUCCUCCUCCAUCUUUCUACAGAGAUUACUUUGCUGCCUUAACAUUUCCCUCCUACCUCUCCUUUUGAGGCUUCUCCUUCUCCUGCCCCCCUAUUUCUCUACACUAAGGGGUAUGUUCCCUCUUGUUCCUCUCCCUACCUUUAUAUUUGGGGUCCUUUUUUAUACAGGAAAAACAAAACAAA